GUCUCUUCUUCGCUGGUGUUCAGCAGCCGCUCUAUAAAAACCCACCGUAUCCUUACUCGUUCUCUUAUUUCGCGAUGGUGCACAAAAGUGUCGUGAUCGGGACGUGUAAGAAGAUAAGAAUAUGUUCACAGGAAGGUGGCUGAAUGAAUAUGAAUGAAUGAACUCCAAACGAAGACUCCUGAGCUGCUGUAAACUGAGUGUGUGAUGUCUCACAAGAUCAUACAGUGACUUGAUCCAAAUAACUGCUUUUGUUGAAUGAUCCUGCCCAGAGGGUUUCAGGACAUCUGGCUUUUUUCUUCAUGGCGGAGCAGUAAAUGGCUGAAUGAACGGGUCCAACGGACUACUGGCAUCAUUUUAGUGCAGGAAAGGCAUUUAAAGGAUUUCUAGAAUGAAAGUGCUAUCCAGCAAUUUAGUAGAGACCACAUUACAAUGAUGUUAUAAAGCUUGUGUGGAACCGAACAUAUUAUAAUAUUGUAAUGUUUGAAGACAUUCAAACUGUAUACGGUCUGGCAAUAAUCUAAAAUAUGUGCUUGUAUGGCAUUGUAACAUGUUGGUGCUUUUUCCAUAGAGCUUAGUUAUAUGCAUUAUGGGUGAAGACGCCUGCCACAAAAUAAAAAUUUAAUAAAGGACUUUCUUAAAUCUUU